UCUCUACCCUUAAAUGUCAUUCUAAGAUUCUGAGUAACCUAGCCUAACAUUCUAACUCCAACGUAGACAGUGAUUCUCUAACAGUGGAUGCGAACAAAGAUGGCAAAGAAUUCAUUUGUUUUGUUGCUCUGCAGUUUAGUCAUUUUCGGAACUCUAACGCUUGCUCAGGGCAAAAAGUCCCAGGAAAGUCUAAAAGAAAUAACUCACAAGGUUUUCUUUGAUGUUGAGAUUGAUGGUAAACCUGCAGGUCGUAUUGUUAUGGGUCUCUUUGGUAAAACAGUUCCUAAAACAGCAGAAAAUUUCAGAGCAUUGUGCACAGGGGAGAAAGGUAUUGGAAAGAGUGGCAAGCCUCUUCAUUACAAGGGAAGCACAUUCCAUAGAAUAAUCCCCAGCUUCAUGCUUCAAGGUGGUGAUUUCACCCUUGGUGAUGGACGUGGAGGGGAAUCAAUUUACGGGGAGAAGUUUGCUGAUGAAAACUUCAAGAUCAAGCACACUGGACCUGGGCUUUUGUCGAUGGCAAAUGCUGGUUCUGACACCAAUGGUUCACAAUUCUUCAUCACAACCGUCACAACUAGCUGGUUGGAUGGUCGACAUGUUGUGUUUGGAAAGGUGUUAUCUGGAAUGGAUGUGGUUUAUAAGGUUGAAGCUGAAGGAAGACAAAGUGGAACACCCAAAAGCAAAGUUGUCAUAGCAGAAAGCGGUGAACUUCCACUAUAAACUAAGGGUCGAUGACACUUGAUAUAUCACACGACUAGUUGAGACAGAUUCCCCAUAUUUCAUGCUAUUCCUUCUCUUCCAUAUUUCCCAAACUACACAUGAAGGCAAUGCUUGCAUAAUAGGCUCGAGUCUAUCACAUACCUUGGCAGUCCAACAUUUGGCACCUAAAAGAGAGUGUAGUCACGCUAUUUGCUGGAUUAGCAUCUAGGAAGGUCAAGACUAUCAGAUUUUCAUGUCCAAGGGGUAUUAAAGACCACAUGAAGUUCAAGGGGAACUAAACAAAAGUUGUCAAGUAUAGGAGGGUCCCAAACAUUUCCUCAAUUUUGUCCUGGUUUUGUUAUACUUCGUUUUGUAUCCCUAUGUAAUAGUGCGAGGUGGGGUUCACAUGAAAAAAUGCACUAUAAUAUCCUUCACAAGCGAGGAAGUCAAUCUAGUGAGAGGUGGACUGCUUGAACAUCUAA